AGAUUAUAUACAAACAGUGUGAGUGAAGCUGCUGUUGUCACGUUUGUUUGUUUGUUGACAGCGCCUCGCACGUAAACACCAGGAGAAGACUCGUCGGGGGAAAAUGCGGCUGCUGUUCGACGCUCUGAGGAAGCAGGUCGGACUCAGCGGCUCGAGGACGUCGAAGAUCUCCACCCUGAACACGGCGGUGGAGGUUAUCCAAGAUCUGCAGAUGAUAGAGAUGGAAAUGGAGAAGAAGAAGGCGACGCUGAGGAAGAAGAGGGACCGAUAUCUGUGGAGACUCGUUCCAUCAUCAGCAGACCAAACUGAAGCUAACUCCAGGGAGGUCAUUGAUCUGAUCGACGACACCAUCGAAAUCUCAUCUGACGAGGAGAUUGAGGUGGACGAUGGCGAUCGGGGCGUUUCCAAGGCGACGGUGGAGGAAAACGUUCGGCUGAAGAGGAUGAGGAGAUCAGAUGUGGAUGAGACGCCAGGAACCACGAACUCUCCAAAGAAGCUGCAGCUCCAUCAGGCUCGUCAGGAGCUCCAGACUCUGCACAGCGCGAUAGAGGAGCUGAAGAGUCUGAAGACGAGUCUGAAGCAGCAGAGAGACACACAGAGUUCAGGUGAAAAACCAGGUAAGAGCGAGCAGAGAUCAGGAAGUCAGCAGCCAACAGGAGACACAAUUGAAGAUGGCAUCACGGCCACAUCACCUGACCCGCAGCCUCCACAAGCUCCUCCCACUUGUGGUUCUGCCCCACCCACUCCUACACCUGUCCAGCCUCUGGUCCAACAGGUAUUAAACACCGUCCUAGCUCAUUCUGCUGCGUCCCACAAUGCAUCUGUGCAGAGAGAUCGGCCGAGGACGAUUCCCAACAUCCUGUCUCGCAGGAAGACUCAUCCACAGCCACCUCAGAACACAACGACUGAAGAGGUCCAUCCUCCAGGUGAACCUCCGUCCAUCAAGGCUCUGAUCCCGACUGAGGUUCUGUCUCUGGUCCAGGCAGCAUUACCAGGACAACGAGUCUUGUUUGGCCCUCUGGAACCGACAGUGUUGCAGUCAACUCCGAGUCCAGGCAUGGCAUCCGUCACUGUGAACAUACCCAACCUGGCCAAUCAGCAGCUGCAUCUCACCUCCUUGCCCCACCCACCAGCUGACAAGAUCUGCAACAGCGCCGCCCCACUCACCCUCACUAACUUCACAGACUUCAGCAUGCUCCAUGCGGUUCACCCUGCAACAACACAACAAGAACAGAAAGAACAACAACAACAGUUAGACAAACAACAACAACAGCAGACAGACAAACAACAACCGACGGACAAACAACAAACACAACAGAACCGGCCGUUGGACCCUCAGUCAGUCUCUGUUGGAUCGGACCGUAGCAGCGACCAGUCCGACCUCAGACCUUCAUCCUCGCCGUCUGUUAGCACCGACCGUCAGUCGCAGGUAAAAGGGGCGGGGCCUCAGGAGACCAACGGUGACCCGGACAACGAGAAUCUGGCAUUACUCCUCAACGAGAUCUUCUUCCUCAACCAGCAGAACAUCACCACGAUGACGGCAGCAGGGGUCCCAUCACCAGGGAAACCAACCUCUGAGGUGGGCGAAGCCAAGGAGCGAGACCACGUCCACAGACUCCCACAGCCAGACUCGGACUCUACCAGCACCGUUGCCAUAGAGACAGAGGGGGUGGGGCUUAAUGGCUAUGCAGAGGCGACUGGCGUGCAGGAGGGACCAGGAAACACUAAAGGAGCUGUGCUGACUCCGCCCCCUCUGCUGCAGAUGAAGGUGGGAGGGGCCAAGGUUGCCCCACCCACCAGCAGUGACAGCGCAGCAGGAGGGGCAUCAGCAGAGAGGAGGGAGGGGGGCAUGGCCUGGAGGCCGAUGCCGAGGCUGGUUCCUCUGGGGUUGAGGGGGAACCCGCCCUGCUGAUGUCACGCAUGAUGUCACCGCAGCUUCAGGACCUCAUUGGCGGUCUGUGGGCAGCGAACAUUUUCUGAUUGGUCAUCAGGAAGAGAAGCGGAUCACUGAUGUUUACAGUCGAGCAGAGAUCGUGUCACCUUAUUUAUUUUGUCAGCGCCGUCAUCCUUUCAGUCUGAGCUCCGUCGUUUGUUUGCUUUAGUCGUUGUUUCAGGAUCGUUUCAGAAUAAAGUUGAAACAGAAAAAAUCCCGAUACGGAACUGAUAACAGAUCAAUACUGUAAAAUAGACUGAGGCUGUUGCUAUGGCAAUGGCAGGUACCCUGUCGCCAGGGUAACCGCCUUCUGAGGCGACCGGAGGGAAAAAAGUUGAUAAAAUAUUCUGAAUAAUUUUGGUUGUUUCCAAACUGUAAUUUAAAUAUGUUUGGCCGCGAUCAAUCGAUUUAUUGAUCACCAGAAUAACAAUCAGCAGCUGUUUAAUUAAUCAAUGUCAUUUUUCUGAUGCAGUUUACAGGCAGAAAACAGCCGAUAGAAUAAUCAAUAAUAAUAAUGUUGCAGCUUCAUUCUAAUAAAGUUUCUGAUCAAUCAUGUCGACUAGUUUGAAGCUGAGAAAUAUCAAAACUUUAGGUUUGCUUUAUUGUUGGGAUUUUAUUGUGAAAUCCGACUUUAUUUAAACCACGAACAAAAUGUUAGAAGAACAGUUGUUUGUGUUUCAGGCAGCAACUCACCUGUCCAGCUAGAAAACAGACUCUAACCCGUUUCACUUCCUCUGAAUGUUUUGAGUCAAAAUAAUUUUUAUUUCUGGCCAAAUGAAGAUUCUGUCACCUGAAUUUAUCUUUCAGAACCGAUUUAGUUUCAUAUUUUUAAGAGCUAAUUUAAAACGUUUUCGACGGUUCAGUAAACUUCAUUGAUGCUGCUCAGACGAAAUAAGAACCAAACUGAAAGAAAAGUUAGUUUUUUAAAGCGUUAUUUUAUCCUGUUGAAAUGUUUUACUUUGAAAAACUCUGAAAACUCGAAAGACUACAGAAACAUAAAACUCCUCCUUUAAUAGAAGAACGAAACUUUCUGUUCCAAAUGUUGCAGCUUUACUCUGAAAAUCUGAAACUGACAGAAGCUUUAUUUUUGUACUUGAAGGUUUUCGUUCAUCGGCGUCACGAUGAAAUAUUUCAGCUGUUUCCGUUUUCAGGAAAUAAUAAACUAUGACAGGAAAGUUUCUUUGUGUUGAACUGUGAAAACUCCUCGAGUUGGUGAAGAAAACUCACCUGGACUGACUCACCUGGACUCACCUGUAAAGACUCAUCAGGACUGACUCACCUUAACUCACCUGGAGCGACUCACCUGUAAAGACUCACCUGGACUCACCUGUAAAGACUCACUUGGAAUGACUCAUCUGGACUCACCUAUAAAGACUCAUUUGUACUGACUCACCUGUACUGACUCACCUGGACUGACUCAUCUGGACUCACCUGUAAAGACUCAUUUGGACUGACUGACUCAUCUGGACUCACCUGUAAAGACUCAUUUGGACUGACUCACCUGGACUGACUUGCCUGUAAAGACUCUCCUGUACCUGCAAGCAGGAUUAAAGCAUCCGUCUGUCGUGCGGCUCUGCUUUGUUUUUCUUAAAUUUGUAUUUUUGUACGAGUUAAAGUUAAACUCUGUUAUCUGAAUAAAACUCUAAUAUCAAUAAAGUUUCACUACGAACGUCUGACUGCUGAGAUUUUAUCAAUGAAACUAAAAAAAAUUAAACUUACUGUUUGAAUAUCUGCUAAAACUCAGGAAAGGGACUUUUCUGAUUUACUAGACGACACAUGA
ensembl:lncRNA